UGGGGAAUAUUGGACAAUGGGCGCAAGCCUGAUCCAGCCAUGCCGCGUGAGUGAUGAAGGCCCUAGGGUUGUAAAGCUCUUUCACCGGUGAAGAUAAUGACGGUAACCGGAGAAGAAGCCCCGGCUAACUUCGUGCCAGCAGCCGCGGUAAUACGAAGGGGGCUAGCGUUGUUCGGAUUUACUGGGCGUAAAGCGCACGUAGGCGGACUAUUAAGUCAGGGGUGAAAUCCCGGGGCUCAACCCCGGAACUGCCUUUGAUACUGGUAGUCUUGAGUUCGAGAGAGGUGAGUGGAAUUCCGAGUGUAGAGGUGACAUUCGUAGAUAUUCGGAGGAACACCAGUGGCGAAGGCGGCUCACUGGCUCUAUUCUGACGCUGGGGUGCGAAAGCGUGGGGAGCAAACAGG
rnacentral:rRNA from 1 species